CUCACGUUUGUAAAUGCAUGCACCAUCCUUAAGCAUUGUGUUAAACAGAUUGUCAUGUUUUACCUGCAAAAUAACAUCCAGAUAACUGGGAAAAACACAAAGCGAUAAUUCUGUAGUGUGAAUAUAUUCCACUUAAAGGAACGCUAUAGUAUUAGGAAUACAAAACUGUAUUCCUAACAGUGUCCCCCAGUAAAUAAAGAGUUAAAGCGUUUUUAGACUUCCCUGAUUGCAGCAAGAAUGUCUCUGUGCUCAUUACCUUCCCCAUAGCAAAGCAUAACAACUCAAUGCUUUCCUAUGGGGUUGUGCUUGACAUGCAUAUCUUGAGGACGCCCACAGUCGUUAAACAGCUAGAGGCAGUGUUAGCACUGCAAUGUAAACAUUAAAGGACAGAGGAACAGUGCACCCAGGUGACUUCAAUGAGAUGUGUCCCUUUAAUAAAAAGGUAAAAAUUAGCACUGCACCAUGAUAGUCUGCAGUCAGCUUUAUUAUACAUGUUAUGGUAGCAGCAGGUGAUAAUCAGAGCACAGACCUUUUGUAGGUCAACACAAAAUGCUGCCUUCUCGUAUCUUCCUGCCUUUACACAACUAUAGAUCUUUACAAAUAAAUUCCAAGUUGGCCCUAAAAUAGGACCUAAAGAUGUCUCUGUAAGGUUAGUCUUCCACUAGAGGGCAGUGUAACAGUUAAUUCAAGCCUUGGUAAUGGUAACACUGCACUGAGUUUAUUAUAUCAUGAAAAGCUAUUAAUCAAGAUCUUUUUACUCUUGAAAAGAUGCACAAUAUAAUGAUUUAAUAAAAGGUGUUACGCUGAAAAAUAUGGCUUGUUACACA